CAGAAAUAAAGCUCUCUGACCAAGAGGAGCUGCCUGUGGCCUCAUUUGGGACAGCACUGGAAUAUCCCUGCUGUAAUGGAGGAAAUGGAGCCACAGUUGGCGCUGCUGUGCAUGAGGCUUGGACACCUGAUCUGCACACCUGCAUGGACCCACGUUUGUGACUGGCAGUUCGUGGCAGCUGUACCCACAAGCCCUGUUCCUGGUCACCUCGCUGUGACUUCUAUGACCAUGCUAUGCUUAGCAUGGGCCACACAUCACAGCCCUGGCAUGGCCUGGCCUUGCUGGAGAUGCAGAGCCGCCCCAGUGCUGCUGACCCAGAGCCUGUCCUGGGCACGCUCCAGUGCGAAGCCUUUGCCUCCCAAUGCUUUCCCGUUCUUUCUUAUGGUAUAAUUUUCUAUUUAGCACCUGCCCUCUACACUGGCAUGUGACCCCCAGGAAAGCAGAAGCUACAUGCAUUUUGACCGUAGCACAAGACCCAAGAUGCAUCACCUAGCAGGUGGCUUUUUUCCCCUACUGCUGAAAGCAGAGAUGAGCUACUCUUGGAAAGGGAAGGAAGGGAGGGCACAGCAUAAAUCAGAAAGAACAAAGUAGCUGAGUUCCUGAAUGGCAAGAGAAACUUUUUUUUCUCUAUAAAACAUCAAAAAGUUUGGAGUCAAUAUAAAAAUUUUAAGAGUCGUAUAUGUAUAAGUAUCUGGUUGUGACUGUUAAUUUUAGAUUCACCGUACGUACCCUGUCUCCAGUCAUCAUUAAGAUGAUCCAGUAAGAUAGCCAGGAUGAUGGAGGGGAAUACUCGCUUAACUGCGGUGACUUACCCAAGGCGACACAAAGUAGAACUAAUAUCCCCAUAUUCAAUUGGGACAUACAUUCCCUUGAGUUCCGAGUUUUUACUGUCAGCCGCAGAACUAAUUUUAUUUUUACCGGGUUGGAUUGGACCCAUGAGACCACACAUUCUUUGUCAAGGGGCGCUUCACCAGACCCUGGAAGACUAUUACUCAUCUUGAAAGUCUUCUCCUGGAAUACUUAAUAGAGAUGGCGUGCUGGUUGUAAUCGACACCCUGGAAAAUCUCAACUUUUGAACUUCCUCUUAGAGCUUGGCUUGUAAUAAAUCACCCGUGCUUCCUAAACUCCUGAUAGAUGCUAUGAGACACAAACCAGACAACAUCGGCCUGCAGCUUUGAAGUCUGGGGUGAAUGUCUCCGUGGGCUUUUCUUAUCAGCGCCAAAGCAAACGUCUUUGGAGCUGACCUCCACCUCGCGUCACCGAUUUGGAGUGUCUCAUGGAGUGGGAAGAUUGGAAAUAUGUUUCCAAAUAAGCUAAUUUGCGCCUACUUGAUGGGCAACUCCUGACAUGGCUCGAGACCUUUGGCCACCAAGGAAACCUGCAGAAGCUGGGUGACCUGGUGGAGACCAACAACAGAGACGGUGUAUGAGGUCGCUGUGACUCGGUGUCAUUUGGGUCCUCACUGUGCUUAAGAUUUCAACGCAGCGGGAAUCCUUUCCUUUGGAGCAGGCCACCGAGGGGGUUUAGAGACACAAGUGAAAGGGGGCCAGAGCCUCUGCCCUGUGAGCAUCUCUUGGUGACUCCCGAUGGCUGCCGAAAGGUUAUCCCCAAUUAUAAUCAAAAUACCUCAAUCCAAACAAAGGUAAGGAAGACUGUUCCCUGCCAUCGCCCCCUCCGCAGCCCCGCGAGCUUGUUACCCUGAAAGCUCAGUGUGCUUUGGCAAAGCUUGGAUUGAAUAAUUAUGAAAAAGAGAUGGAGCCCAGUGUUAAGUAAAGCACUCUUUUUUUGCAGGAAGAAAUGGUUUUAUUUAUUUAUUGUUUGACAGAAAGGAAUAGGGUUUUUUUCCCCUUUAGUUUUAAAUAUUUGGUUCUGUCAUGCCUGCCCCUCACUGUCUAUGGCAUUCCACGUGUCACAGAGGCUGUACGAGAAAUUUCCAUCAGACAGCAAGGAUGUGGGACAGGUUGAAGCCCUGGCACGGGUUUUCCUUAGGGAAGGUGUCAGGCUCAGAGUGGUCACCUUAGAAAGCUCCAAACCCCUAUGGGGAUUUAGCUCAGCAGCAUAAGCACCUGCCUUGCAAGCAGGCGGUUGUGAGUUCGAUCCCUGGUACCGAUAAAAAUGAAAAAGACAAAAAAAAAAAAAAAAAAAGCUCCAAGCCGCGGGCCUGACCAGAGUAAGUGCGUGGCUCCGGGGGCUGCCGACUUCACAUAUUAUUCACUUGCCAUGUGACCCUGGUGGGGGGACCCUAUCUUUUCUGACCCCAAAUUCCACAAUGGUCAUAUCAAGAUGUAACAGUGCCUUUCACAAACCCUGCCUGGUAUACAGUAGGUGCUCAAUAAAAUGCAGGUUUAUUUAAUUACUUUUAUUUCUUUAAUAAUUUUACUGCAUUGGCACAGGGUUCAGAAGUCCUGUAGCACGAGAUGUAGAAUAAAGUUUAAAAUACAUGCAAAAAUAAUUCUGCUUACGUUAGGAAUAGAU